UAUACAGGAGUCUAGUGGCUAAGAGACUGGUCUCUGGAACCAGAAUGCCUGGGUUCACAUCCUAGCUCAACAA
rnacentral:tRNA from 1 species